rnacentral:rRNA from 1 species
UGGGGAAUUUUGGACAAUGGGCGAAAGCCUGAUCCAGCAAUACCGCGUGUGUGAUGAAGGCCUUCGGGUCGUAAAGCACUUUCAGUUGUGAAGAAAUGCAUAUGGUUAAGAGCUGUAUGAGCUGACGUUAACAACAAAAGAAGCACCGGCUAACUCUGUGCCAGCAGCCGCGGUAAUACAGAGGGUGCGAGCGUUAAUCGGAAUUACUGGGCGUAAAGCGCGCGUAGGUGGACAAUUAAGUCAUGUGUGAAAGCCCCGGGCUCAACCCGGGAACUGCAUGUGAGACUGGUUGUCUAGAGUGUGGUAGAGGGAAGUAGAAUUUCCGGUGUAGCGGUGAAAUGCAUAGAUAUCGGAAGGAAUACCAGUGGCGAAGGCGACUUCCUGGGCCACUACUGACACUGAGGCGCGAAAGCGUGGGGAGCAAACAGG